AUGGAGUCGAGCAGCAGGGAGGAACAUCCUACCUCACAAAAAAAUCCUUCUCCACUGACCAUGGAAGCCAAGAUGAUCGUGGCCACAGGCCAUGACCAUUGCCAGCAGUUGAAGGAUAUGCUCAGCAAGGAGGAUCCUUCGACCAUGCUAGUGGUGAUGGCCUCAAGCAACCAGACUUCCACGCCGCACAAGCCUCGGUCGCCGGUCAUGGAUCUUGGGCUGCUAGCAGCAGUGUGCUCUGGCUCCUGGCAGAAACUGCAAUCAUUUCUAAAUAAGCGAGGCCGUCAAGCCUCCAGCGACGGUGCUACUGGAAGCUCGGCUAUGCAGCCAGCAUUUGGUGAUGAAGAAGCACUUUUCAGGGAGACUUUCUUGGAAGGGGUCACCACUGAAGUUGACACUUUCCUCCACGUGAUGGCCACCAACAGUGAUGGUGAGAACUUGAAUGAACAUAUGGCACUCAUAUGCAGGAAGGCAGCAAGCCUCCUUUUCGUGCAAAACAACAAUGGAGAAACGCCUAUGCACUGUGCUGCACGAGCGGGGAAAUCUCAAAUGGUGUCUUUCCUCAUUAAUCUUGCUAGAGGCGAGGAUCGAGAUGCUAGCAGAGUGAAGGCACUGCUAGAAAUGGAGAACAAGAGUAAAUGGACAGUCUUGCACGAGGCUGUCCGGAGUGGGAACAAUGAUUUAGUGGAAUUGCUCAUGGAGGGGGAUCCAGAAUUGGCAGGUCUUCCAUAAAUUGGUACUUCGCCGUUGUACCUUGCCAUCUAACUGGAAUACAGAAUGAUCGCCAAAACACUCUACCAGUUAAGCGGCAGGAAUCUUUCAUACUCUGGACCAAAUGGACAAAAUGCAUUGCAUGCUGCUGUUCUCAGAGGCAAAGAUCUUACAGAUAUGUUGUUAGGAUGGAACAACACGCUUACAGUACAACAAGAUCAAAAUGGAAAUACACCUCUUUACUUCAUUGCAUCUGUACUAGGGAAAAGAGAUCAAGAAACCAUAUGUUUACUUCUACUGAAAGGCAAUCCAGAUGCAUUGUACCUACCGGACAACGAUGGAUCAUUCCCCAUACACGUGACUGAGUCAGUAAAUCCAAGAUAGGCCAUAAGAAAUCUAUAA
rnacentral:rRNA from 1 species